AUUGAACGCUGGCGGCGUGCUUAACACAUGCAAGUCGAUCGGUAACGCGGGGGCAACCCUGGCGACGAGAGGCGGACGGGUGAGGAACGCUUGGGAAUCUGCCUAUCAGCGGGGGACAACACGGGGAAACUCGCGCUAAUACCGCAUACGCUCUACGGAGGAAAGCCGGGGACCGCAAGGCCUGGCACUAAUAGAUGAGCCCAAGCCGGAUUAGCUAGUUGGCGGGGUAACGGCCCACCAAGGCGACGAUCCGUAGCUGGUCUGAGAGGACGAUCAGCCACACUGGGACCGAGACACGGCCCAGACUCCUACGGGAGGCAGCAGUGGGGAAUAUUGGACAAUGGGGGAAACCCUGAUCCAGCGACGCCGCGUGGGUGAAGAAGGCCUGCGGGUUGUAAAGCCCUUUCGGUAGGGACGAAAGCUCUCGACCUAACACGUCGGGAGGUUGACUUAACCUACAAAAGAAGCACCGGCUAACUCUGUGCCAGCCGCCGCAGUAACAC
rnacentral:rRNA from 1 species